UUCUUCACCUGAAGGUCACAACAACACUAGGGUUUUGGAGAGAGAGCUUGAUUCUUUUCUCAUUAACUCUCAGGUAUCUCUCACAGUCGAAAGAGGAAGGACAGUAUAGGGGAAUAGCGAUAUAAUCAGUUGAAGGAAGGAAGAAAGAAAAAGAGAAGACCAGCAUGUGGAGGUUGAAGAUAGCGGAAGGAGAGGACGGUCCCUACUUGUACCGCACCAACAACUACGUGGGGAGGCAGAUUUGGGAGUUCGACCCUGAGGCCAGCACCGCCGAGGAGCGCAGCGAGGUUGAGACCGCCUGCCGGCACUUCUACAGCCACUGCCACCAAGUCAAUCCCUGUGGCGACCUCCUCUGGCGCAUGCACGUACAUAACAUACACCAUGCACCUAAACACUCAUACAUACGCUCACGUUCUCAUUCAGCAACAGGCACACAAAGAGGCACCCGUACAUACGUGUCAAACUCGACAUGGAUAGUUAGAAUAAAUAACCAAUUACGUAAACACACUUAUGGAGGGAUGAAUUAUGUCUUCCGCAUACAAAUAUCACUUUAAUCACUUUUGAACUUUGGUAUAUCAUUUGUGAACUAAUCUGAGAGUUGUUUG